ACAAUGGGGCUAUACGCGGAGCCGUUUGUCCUAAAGAGGGCGCUGGGGUAAUAGUGGUUAUUGAAGAUAGCCUCGUUUUCGCGUCCGUGUAGAAAUGGCUUUAGAGUAUGGGAAGCAAACGGUGGCGAAGUUAAAACUUCAACUAGUUGAAAGAGGAGCCUCCACUAGAGGAAAGAAACAGGAUUUGGUAGAAAGGUCACAGAGAAGGAAGUGUCAGAACUUGAAAACAGAACUAGAGGCCAAAGUAAAAGUCGAGUGUGGCAUGAAGAAAGAUCAUGGAGAAUAACAGCAUCGAGGUUUGGUGAUAUUUUAACCACAACCGAAAGACAAGACAAGGACAAAUUAUGCCAGUUUACCCAUGAAAUCUAUACUCCA
rnacentral:lncRNA from 1 species